rnacentral:tRNA from 1 species
UAUAAUUAAGUAUAUGAUGUACAUAAGUUUUUGAUACUUAAAGAGUAGUUUAAUUCUACAAAUUAUAA